UUUGAUGUGUUUAAAUUUUAUUAUGGAGAAGUCCUAUCAAAUAAUUUAAAUUAAAUAAAUUAAAAGAUUAAAUAUAAAAUUAAAUAUUUUAGUACAGUCCAAAAUUUAGUAAUUUACCAUAAAUAAAUUUAAUAAAAAGAUUUUAUUGCAAAAUAUUGUCGAUGGAGGAGGAAGCUUAUCAUGCCACACUUAUAGUACAUCAUCAAUAACAGCCAAUUAUAUAAUUUAUUAAAAAAUAUAUAAUAAAAAUAUUUUUUUUAUAAUUAUUAC
rnacentral:lncRNA from 1 species